UUUCUUCCUCGGUCUUUCUUCAUUUGAAAUCAUUUUUCUAAUUCUUCUAAUGCUUUCAUUGAUGUAUGCAUACUCAAUGAUUUGUUGGACUCAUUAUUCACUUAAUUUUAUUUUCAGACAGAUUUGUUGUGGAGUUAAGUCUUCUGUUUUUCAACCAAGUUGAGUAGGAAAGAAUAUAUUUUGACAGAACGACAUACAUUCUCCAUAUAUAACAACUGAAGAGUCUGCUCAAUAUUCAACUUGGUUGUGGUUGCCGAGCUAGAUUAAUUCGCUAUUUACAUCAUUGUGUUUUUCUUGGAGACCAAGGUCAACUGUUUCAAUUCCAUUUUUAGUUCUUCAUCUUUUAACAUAUUUUUCCCCCAAAUCAUAAGAAUCAAAAUUUCAGAAACAACAUUUAAGAAGGAAGAAGAAAGAGGAAAGAUGAGUUGGCAUUGGAGUAGAUUGCAACUAGAUGAUAAACUGUGGUUCCAUAGUUCAUUGUUGUAGUGCAUUUUGAACUCAUUCUUAUAAUAUCUAGAAAUUAUGAUCUUCCGGCACAAUCUCCACCUACUUCUCUAAUUUCUCUAC